rnacentral:misc_RNA from 1 species
GAUGAAGAACGUAGCGAAAUGCGAUACGUAAUGUGAAUUGCAGAAUUCAGUGAAUCAUCGAGUCUUUGAACGCACAUUGCGCCCCCUGGUAUUCCGGGGGGCAAGCCUGUCCGAGCGUCAUUGCUGCCCUCAAGCACGGCUUGUGUGUUGGGCCUCCGUCCUCCUCCCGGGGGACGGGCCCGAAAGGCAGCGGCGGCACCGCGUCCGGUCCUCGAGCGUAUGGGGCUUCGUCACCCGCUCUUGUAGGCCCGGCCGGCGCUUGCCGACACAUCAAUCUUUUUUCCAGGUUGACCUCGGAUCAGGUAGGGAUACCCGCUGAACUUAAGCAUAUCAAUAAGCGGAGGA